rnacentral:tRNA from 1 species
GGUCCGGUGGCGUAAUGGUAGCGCGUCUGACUACGACCCGCCGUGGAUACGGGGAUCCCCAGGAUCGCCGGCUACGGCCGUUGCGGUAAUCAGGAGGCUGCAGGUUCGAGACCUGCCCGCAUCG